rnacentral:rRNA from 1 species
CCUACGGGAGGCAGCAGUGGGGAAUAUUGCACAAUGGGGGAAACCCUGAUGCAGCGACGCCGCGUGAGUGAAGAAGUAAUUCGUUAUGUAAAGCUCUAUCAGCAGGGAAGAAAAUGACGGUACCUGAGUAAGAAGCCCCGGCUAACUACGUGCCAGCAGCCGCGGUAAUACGUAGGGGGCAAGCGUUAUCCGGAUUUACUGGGUGUAAAGGGAGCGUAGACGGCAGUGCACGUCUGGAGUGAAAGGCGGGGGCUCAACCCCCGGACUGCUCUUGAAACUGUACGGCUGGAGUGCAGGAGAGGUAAGUGGAAUUCCUAGUGUAGCGGUGAAAUGCGGAGAUAGUAGGAGGAACACCAGUGGCGAAGGCGGCUUACUGGACUGUAACUGACGUUGAGGCUCGAAAGCGUGGGGAGCAAACAGGAUUAGAUACCCCUGUAGUC